UACAGAGGGUGCGAGCGUUAAUCGGAAUUACUGGGCGUAAAGCGCACGUAGGCGGCUUGGUAUGUCGGGGGUGAAAUCCCCGGGCUCAACCUGGGAACUGCAUCCGAAACUGCCUUGCUAGAGUAUGGGAGAGGGAAGUGGAAUUUCCGGUGUAGCGGUGAAAUGCGUAGAUAUCGGAAGGAACAUCAGUGGCGAAGGCGACUUCCUGGACCAACACUGACACUGAGGAGCGAAAGCCAGGGGAGCAAACGGG
rnacentral:rRNA from 1 species